rnacentral:rRNA from 1 species
CCUACGGGUGGCAGCAGUGAGGAAUAUUGGUCAAUGGGCGCUAGCCUGAACCAGCCAAGUCGCGUGAAGGAUGACUGCCCUAUGGGUUGUAAACCUCUUUUAUCUGGGAAUAAAGUCCAGUACGUAUACCGCUUUGCAUGUACCUGAAGAAUAAGCAUCGGCUAACUCCGUGCCAGCAGCCGCGGUAAUACGGAGGAUCCGAGCGUUAUCCGGAUUUAUUGGGUUUAAAGGGUGCGCAGGCGGGCUGUUCAGUCAGUUGUGAAAGUUUGGGGCUCAACCCCAGCAUUGCUGUUGAUACUGGCAUGCUUGAGUGGGGUAGAGGUAGGCGGAAGGCGUGGUGUAGCGGUGAAAUGCUUAGAUAGCACGCAGAACUCCGAUUGCGAAGGCAGCCUGCCGGCCUGUAACUGACGCUGAUGCACGAAAGUGUGGGUAUCGAACAGGAUUAGAUACCCUGGUAGUC